rnacentral:rRNA from 1 species
AUUGCCUCAGUAACGGCGAGUGAAGCGGCAAUAGCUCAAAUUUGAAAUCUGGCUCUUUUAGAGUCCGAGUUGUAAUUUGUAGAGGAUGCUUCGGCUUACGUCUCGGUCUAAGUUCCUUGGAACAGGACGUCACAGAGGGUGAGAAUCCCGUUUGUGGCCGCGACUUCCGCCAUGUGAAGCUCCUUCGACGAGUCGAGUUGUUUGGGAAUGCAGCUCUAAAUGGGAGGUAUAUUUCUUCUAAAGCUAAAUACCGGCCAGAGACCGAUAGCGCACAAGUAGAGUGAUCGAAAGAUGAAAAGCACUUUGGAAAGAGAGUUAAAAAGUACGUGAAAUUGUUGAAAGGGAAGCGCUUGCGACCAGACUUGCCCGCGGAUGCUCAACCGGUCCUUCGGCCGGUGCACUCUUCCGCGGUCAGGCCAGCAUCAGUUCGAGCAGUUGGAUAAAGGCUUUGGGAAUGUGGCUCUCUUCGGGGAGUGUUAUAGCCCUUUGUGCAAUACAACUCGCUUGGACUGAGGCCCGCGCUUCGGCUAGGAUGCUGGCGUAAUGGUCGUAAGCGGCCCGUCUUGAAACACGGACCAAGGAGUCUAACAUCUAUGCGAGUGUUUGGGUGUCAAACCCGUGCGCGAAAUGAAAGUGAACGGAGGUGGGAACCUUUGGGUGCACCAUCGACCGAUCCUGAUGUCUUCGGAUGGAUUUGAGUAAGAGCAUAGCUGUUGGGACCCGAAAGAUGGUGAACUAUGCCUGAAUAGGGUGAAGCCAGAGGAAACUCUGGUGGAGGCUCGCAGCGGUUCUGACGUGCAAAUCGAUCGUCAAAUUUGGGUAUAGGGGCGAAAGACUAAUCGAACCAUUUGCUAGGUGGUUAAGAGGCAUCUCAAAGUGCAUGCCUAGUCCCUACAUUCGGGG